CCCAUUGAAAGCCGCGCGCCGCCGUCCUAUAUGAGGGGUGUUCCGCAAGGGACUAUGGGCAUAAACGCGCAUGUAAUAAACGGAUCGGACCCGGGGGCGGUACCCGGCGGCUCCACCAAUAAACCCUUGUUGGGGGUUCAUGGGGCCGAAAUAGGAUCGACGAACGCGUAAAGAUGUAGCUUUGUCCCGGUGAGAUACCACCGUUAUCGGUUCAUAAAGCAUAGUUGCCAACAACAAUCGUGCUCCGAUGGCUCUGGCUGCGUAAGCAGUCCGAAACAUCGAAAUCUAAGUCCUUGCGCCUAGCAGCGUAAGGCGGGGUUCGCAGGUACCUGGCAACAGAAACCUGCACU
rfam:Yangia sp. CCB-MM3 chromosome 1, complete sequence.